GAUGAACGCUGGCGGCGUGCUUAACACAUGCAAGUCGAGCGAGAGAGUUCUUCGGAACAAUCUAGCGGCGGACGGGUGAGUAACACGUGGGCAACCUGCCUCAUAGAGGGGAAUAGCCUCCCGAAAGGGAGAUUAAUACCGCAUAACAUUAUCGAGUGGCAUCGCACGAUAAUCAAAGGAGCAAUCCGCUAUGAGAUGGGCCCGCGGCGCAUUAGCUAGUUGGUGAGGUAACGGCUCACCAAGGCGACGAUGCGUAGCCGACCUGAGAGGGUGAUCGGCCACAUUGGGACUGAGACACGGCCCAGACUCCUACGGGAGGCAG
rnacentral:rRNA from 1 species